AACGAACGCUGGCGGCGUGGAUUAGGCAUGCAAGUCGAACGCGAAAGAGGGAGCAAUCCCUCAAGUAGAGUGGCGAACGGGUGAGUAACGCGUGAAGAACCUGCCUUCAACAGGGGGAUAACACUCCCAACGGGGUGCUAAUACCGCAUGAGACCACGGGUCCGCAUGGACCUGAGGUCAAAGGUGGCCUCUGCUUGCAAGCUACCGGUUGAAGAUGGCUUCGCGUCCCAUAGCUAGUUGGCGGUGUAAAAGACCACCAAGGCGACGAUGGGUAGCUGGUCUGAGAGGAUGGUCAGCCACACUGGGACUGAGAUACGGCCCAGACUCCUACGGGAGGCAGCAGUCGAGAGGCUUUGGCAAGUGGGGAAACCCUGACCAA
rnacentral:rRNA from 1 species